rnacentral:miRNA from 1 species
CCCCCUCCUUGCCCUUGCAGU